GCUCCUCGGGUGGAAGGGAGUGUGGAACAGUGCAGACAGUGUGCAGAGCAUGAGCAAGCCUGUUUCUGCAUGACUGAGUCUGUCUGUCUACACAUCAUCUACGAAGUGAAAGAACGUGCUUGGGAACGGUCAACACCUGAAGAAGGAGAGGGGACCUCAGGAGAGGAUCUUGGAGGAGGCACGCAUGAACUUCUGCCGUAUGUGUAAAAAUUUUCUUUCUUAAACUGGGUGGAGGGGCCUUUUUAUGCGUUGGAAACGCUUUUUUAGUGAAACUAAACUGAAGUACUUACGGAGUAGCUGAGCUGGGCGGACUGCGCAGGAGCCCAGGCACCAAUUGGCGUGAACUCUCCAGUUCUGGACCCACAUCCAGAGGUGUGUGAAGCCACCCCCCAGAGCCCAGCCAACGGUAAAUAGGACUGUGACCUGGGAAUCAGACCGUUCCCGAGCGCCCCCUGUGUGUGGUGUUCCUUGGGUGGUGGGGACCGCUGUGUUCAGCCCGUCCUUGGAAGAGGCGAGGGGUGCUGCCGUGGGAGGUAGAGAGAAGGGCAGGGGUGUGGUGCUCUUUUUUUCCAUUCCUACUUCAGCUAAACCAUUGCCACUUUUAUCCGUUUUGUGCCGCGAGCUCUUACCUACUCUUGUUGGUUGGCGGCUUUCGGGCAGGGAAACGGGCAAACGUGGACGCGCGCAGCUAAGGCAGGCGCGGUGGGCAGGGGGCUGGGCCGGGCAGGGACUGUGCCGCCCCCGCUUCUGGGUGGGAGCGGCCUGUCUCCU
rnacentral:lncRNA from 1 species